rnacentral:tmRNA from 1 species
GGGGAUGUCCUGGUUUCGACAGGAUACUCUGGUCAUAUAAUAGCAGUGGUGUGGUAGACCAUAAGACUUCUAGGUUUGAUAAAAUGCAAACAAAAACGAAGAAAAAACAAACGAAGUUCCAACAUUUAUGUUAAAUGCUGGACAAGCAAAUUACGCUUUCGCUUAAUUUGACUUUCAAUAUAAAAAUAUAACGUUUGGCAAUUUUUAACAGUGUUGGAAUCUGUUAAUUAUUGUAUAUACCUAUUCCAAUAGAAAUUAUGAUCGUAAUAAAUAAUUUUGAAACUCAAUUACGAAUGUUAUAUUAAUCUUUUGAUAGUUUUAUUUAAUAUAGCAAAUUAGAAAAUUAUCUAAACUGUAGAAUUUAUAUGAUUUGGUAUUUUGGACGUGGGUUCGAUUCCCACCAUCUCCACCA